UAUUGCGCAAUGGGCGAAAGCCUGACGCAGCGACGCCGCGUGAGGGAUGAAGGUCUUCGGAUCGUAAACCUCUGUCAGCAGGGAAGCAAGGUCACUGUGCUAAUCAGCAGUGACUUGACGGUACCUGCAAAGGAAGCCCCGGCUACCUCAGUGCACGCAGCCGCGGGAAUACGGAGGGUGCGAGCGUUAAUCGGAAUUACUGGGCGUAAAGCGCUCGUAGGCGGUAUGUCAAGUCAAGGGUGAAAUCCCCGCGCUCAACGUGGGAACUGCCUUUGAAACUGGCAAACUGGAGUGUGUGAGAGGAUAGUGGAAUUCCAGGUGUAGGAGUGAAAUCCGUAGAUAUCUGGAGGAACAUCAGUGGCGAAGGCGACUAUCUGGCACAUAACUGACGCUGAGGAGCGAAAGCGUGGGUAGCAAACAGG
rnacentral:rRNA from 1 species